GACGAACGCUGGCGGCGUGCCUAAUACAUGCAAGUAGAACGCUGAAGGAGGAGCUUGCUCUUCUGGAUGAGUUGCGAACGGGUGAGUAACGCGUAGGUAACCUGCCUGGUAGCGGGGGAUAACUAUUGGAAACGAUAGCUAAUACCGCAUAACAGUAGAUGUUGCAUGACAUUUGCUUAAAAGGUGCAAUUGCACCACUACCAGAUGGACCUGCGUUGUAUUAGCUAGUUGGUGGGGUAACGGCUCACCAAGGCGACGAUACAUAGCCGACCUGAGAGGGUGAUCGGCCACACUGGGACUGAGACACGGCCCAGACUCCUACGGGAGGCAGCAGUAGGGAAUCUUCGGCAAUGGACGGAAGUCUGACCGAGCAACGCCGCGUGAGUGAAGAAGGGUUUCGGAUCGUAAAGCUCUGUUGUAAGAGAAGAACGAGUGUGAGAGUGGAAAGUUCACACUGUGACGGUAUCUUACCAGAAAGAGACGGCUAACUACGUG
rnacentral:rRNA from 1 species